rnacentral:lncRNA from 1 species
AAUAAACCUUUUGGAUAACUCUAAGGGUGCGUUUGGUUCGCACUAUGAAAGAUUACUAGCAAUAAAAAGAUGUCCGAGAAUCUUAAUCCUAUUCAUCAUAUUACUAAGAAUGUGGCAUUCCUGUGUUUGGUUCGCACGGUUAUAUUAUUUAGUUAUGUUAUUUAAGUUUACAAAAAAUAUACAAUUAAUUUAUUUAUUUUUUUAAUUAAUUUUAAAUAAUGCCACCAAAAAUUUCAACAUCUUUUUAGAAAAAGAGAGAGAGAGAACAUAGGUUAGAGAGAGAGAGCAUAAUUAAAGAAAUAAGAAGAGAAAUAGAGUCGAGAUUAGAGGGAGUGAGAGAGUUGAGAUUUUAGAAAAAGAGGGAGAGAGCUUAGCUUAGAGAGAGAAAAAGAGUUGAAGUUUAGAGAGAAAAAAAUAAGUUUAGAGAGAGAUAUGAGGUUAGAGUG